rnacentral:snRNA from 1 species
AAUAUAACUUUAUUAACUACAU